rnacentral:rRNA from 1 species
ACGAACGCUGGCGGCGUGCUUAACACAUGCAAGUCGAACGGAAAGGCCCCUUUGGGGGUACUCGAGUGGCGAACGGGUGAGUAACGCGUGAGUAACCUGCCCUUGACUUCGGGAUAACUUCAGGAAACUGGGGCUAAUACCGGAUAGGAAUCCUUGCUGCAUGGUGGGGGUUGGAAAGCUUCGGCGGUUUUGGAUGGACUCGCGGCUUAUCAGCUUGUUGGUGGGGUAGUGGCUUACCAAGGCUUUGACGGGUAGCCGGCCUGAGAGGGCGACCGGCCACAUUGGGACUGAGAUACGGCCCAGACUCCGACGGGAGGCAGCAGUGGGGAAUAUUGCACAAUGGGCGGAAGCCUGAUGCAGCAACGCCGCGUGCGGGAUGACGGCCUUCGGGUUGUAAACCGCUUUCAGCAGGGGCGAAGCUUGUGGUGACGGUACCUGCAGAAGAAGCACCGGCUAACUACGUG